AUGACCUCUAUACUGUCAGCAGCAGAGUGACUGUGGAGAAGAGACACAGCAACAACAUCACCUGCAGAGUCCAACAGAGGAACACCAACCAGAGCAGAGAGACACACAUACAUGUUCCAGUCCCGUCCUGGUCUUUGAAAUUGGUCUUGGUUCCGGGCUUACUCGCCGUGUUUCUGAGUAUUCUACUGACCAUUCACAGAUGCCGAGUAAGGAUUCUUGAACAUGAUGAAAAAGAGGUGAUGCUCAAGAAUCCAGAUGUGUAAACACCGCAAGGAACAGGUUUGAUAGAUAACCACACAACUCCAGAGGGGCAAGAACUUCAGAUCAAGUAAGAUCAGGAAGUGGAGCUUCUGAAAUAUCUGGAGGAAGCAGGGGAGCAGCUGAAGAAGCUACACAUUUCAAUGACAGGAAAGCAGGCUUUGAGAAAGAGUUUAUGUGAAUACAGUGACUGUCAGUGUCAGUAUCCCUGAACAAAGCACCUGUGCCUAAACAGUCUUCAGCAUGACUUUAGUCUCUCUGUAUGUAUUUCUAAAUGGCAAUAACUCAACUCAGUUCAUCUGUGCAAAUUGGUUGUUACAUUUCUUACUGUGUUAGAUGACCUGUAGUAUCUGAAGUUUCAUGUGAUGAGGUCAUGUAAUCACUUUUAUUGCAUUAUAGAGAGUGGAUAUCGUCAAUAUUUUUAUCUGAGACAUGCAGUUCUGACCAUGAGCACAAAAGGUCCCCUUACCAUUCAAAUCUUCUGUUUAUGAGGGAAACCAGUCAGUCAGACAAAAGUUGGCUUAUAGGGAGAGGAGCCAAGAAAAGACAGAAGACGAACUGAAAUGUCAAACUGAGGCUUAAAAACAAAGAUAAAUAAGUAUUAUUUUGAACUGUGAACCAUCCGAAGCUGCUUAGGAGUCCAAGAAUAAAACAUAUUGUCUUGGAAACAAGGAGAAUAUGCUCCAUUUCCCAUUCCAGUGCAUUAUUGUAACUUUGUAACUACUUUUCUGGUUGUAGUCGCACCAUUUCAGGAAAAACAGCUACUUUGGGUCUCACCCAAAGUCACAGACUGACAAUCCUAGUGUAGCUAAUUUUGCUUUAAAAUGGCCAAUCAGGAGCGAUGAGCCUCAGGAUUGGACCAUGUCCAUGGCCAUAAUAUAGGAAGUAAAAUUAAAAUCACUGUAGAAACCUCAAAAGACCCAAAAUGUUUUAACUUCAUCUAGGCAACCAAAGAUGGGCUUCUUCCCUCUAACCUACAGUUGAUGACUGUCACUUUCAUCAGCUGUUAAUUUUGCACUGAGUCUAACAAUCUGUGAUAGCUACAAUGCUAAAUCAGAAGCAGCACUUUUCUGUGAGGCACCAUUGAUAAAGGUCUUGUAUUGGAAAGAGAUUUUAUAAUGAAUUUAAGUGCCAUGCAUGGCAGAGUCGAUCUGAUUAAUAAGAGCUAAACAACAUAGUUUUAAGGUCUAAAUAGGCUAUAUUUAUAUACAGUCCAAAUCAAGAAAACUUUAUUUGCAAAUGAGGC